rnacentral:rRNA from 1 species
CGCUGGCGGCGUGCUUAACACAUGCAAGUCGAACGAUGACUUUUGUGCUUGCACAGAAUGAUUAGUGGCGAACGGGUGAGUAACACGUGAGUAACCUGCCCCUGACUCUGGGAUAAGCCUGGGAAACUGGGUCUAAUACUGGAUAUGCACCGUAGACCGCAUGGUUUUUGGUGGAAAGAAUUUUGGUCAGGGAUGGACUCGCGGCCUAUCAGCUUGUUGGUGAGGUAAUGGCUCACCAAGGCGACGACGGGUAGCCGGCCUGAGAGGGUGACCGGCCACACUGGGACUGAGACACGGCCCAGACUCCUACGGGAGGCAGCAGUGGGGAAUAUUGCACAAUGGGCGAAAGCCUGAUGCAGCGACGCCGCGUGAGGGAUGACGGCCUUCGGGUUGUAAACCUCUUUCAGUAGGGAAGAAGCGAAAGUGACGGUACCUGCAGAAGAAGCGCCGGCUAACUACGUGCCAGCAGCCGCGGUAAUACGUAGGGCGCAAGCGUUAUCCGGAAUUAUUGGGCGUAAAGAGCUCGUAGGCGGUUUGUCGCGUCUGCCGUGAAAGUCCGAGGCUCAACUUCGGAUCUGCGGUGGGUACGGGCAGACUAGAGUGAUGUAGGGGAGACUGGAAUUCCUGGUGUAGCGGUGAAAUGCGCAGAUAUCAGGAGGAACACCGAUGGCGAAGGCAGGUCUCUGGGCAUCUACUGACGCUGAGGAGCGAAAGCAUGGGGAGCGAACAGGAUUAGAUACCCUGGUAGUCCAUGCCGUAAACGUUGGGCACUAGGUGUGGGGGACAUUCCACGUUUUCCGCGCCGUAGCUAACGCAUUAAGUGCCCCGCCUGGGGAGUACGGCCGCAAGGCUAAAACUCAAAGGAAUUGACGGGGGCCCGCACAAGCGGCGGAGCAUGCGGAUUAAUUCGAUGCAACGCGAAGAACCUUACCAAGGCUUGACAUGUGCUAGAUCGCCAUAGAAAUA